UUUAUUACUCCUCUAAUGAUAUUUGUUACUCAAUGGGCAACUGAAAAAGAGAAAAAAGAAUAUGGCUUUGUUUUUGUGCAUAUCAUAGAACUUUUACCGCUAUACACGUGUACAAUUCCUUCAGCUUUCUCGAUUCCUACCUUUUAUUAACAGUUAGUAUUACCGUGGUUAUAGCUGCGCUGUUGAGGUUCAUGGAAUCGUGCAUUCUUCUACUGCCUCUCCUUUCUCUAUUGUACUUCCUUAUACUUCUUUAAUUUGUUGGUAAUCAAAAUUUGGGUCCUUACUCUUUUUAAAGUUUAUCCAUUUUUUUCUAUUUGUAUCUGAUACGAGCUCUAUUUGGGUAAUUUUUUUAUGCAAUAUUUCUUUAUUUGUUGAAGUUACUUUGUUGGAGAUGACAAUUUAGAGAAUAUAUAUUAGCUUACUCUUCUUUUGAAUAAAUUUCAUGCUACAAAUUUUAUGUGCAUGUCAGUAAUUGUACCUGAUUUAUACAUGCAUUAUGACUUUUAUUAGAUGAAUUUUUUCUUUUGCUACCAACUAAUUAGUGCAGAGCUAAACGUCUUGCCGAAAAUCCGAGGUAUCAAAUUAAAAUUGCAGCUGGAAUUUUGGUUUCUCUUGAUUUGGGAUAUACUUUUUCAUUACGAUUUGUUUUAUUCUACUUAUUUAAUCUUUUUUUAUUGUUUGCUUACUGGAAUUUGAAGUGGACUAAGCACUCAAGGUGUUUGCUGAUGUGCCUCUAAGACCUAUAUGAAUCAAUUGGCUGAUUAGAGCAUAUUUAUUGCUACCCUGCCCUCACAACUAUAUUUUUAGCUCAUGUGAAGGCGUGAAGCUAUACAUAACGCUUGAUUGGAAAUCUAAGCUCCCUAAAAGCAGGGGUUGAUAGGGUUGCUUCUAUAGACAAUGAUGAAUCAUUGACUUAUUCUAGGUACUUGACUUGAAGUUGUAAAAGUGUGUUAUUAAUGUCUUAACGAACUCAACUUUCUUCUGCAUAAAACAAUUUCUAAACAUGUCAUGAAUGUGGGACUUAUGGAUAUUGCAUUCGGAUCAACUCCAGAACUGCCAGAGAAAUUUGAUCUGUGCCACAAAAAUUCACAAAAAUGCAGUUUCUGAUGUUGUCCUUCUUGGUAAGUUUCUACUCUUGCGUGGAUGAGAUAAUUACAUCUCUAAAGUGUUGAAUUUGACAUGUUUGAGGUUUACUGAUUGGUGUAAUAAAGAAUCAACAGUUUAUGGAACUGAACUGUGUUCGUUGUCCAUUAAGAGAUUUGAAAUUGGGAGGCAAAGUUGUGCUCCAGAAUUUCAAUUAAUUUGAUAAAAACACUUGACUCAUGCAAGUUCCAUGUUGCUUUACCAGAAUGAUGGAUUUUGAGUAUGCUCCUAAUGGGACUCUCUUUGAACUUUUGCAUACUGAGUGUCUUAUUCUGGGACUGUAGCUAUUGAGAUUUAUCCCCAACUGUUACGUAAUUACGUCUGCUUGAUUAAACUAUUUAGCAAAUACCUUUAUUUGGUGUA